GCCCCGGUAGCUCAGACGGUAAGAGCAUUGGUUUGGGUGAGAAGCUGAUCAGUGAUCGUCGUGGGUUCGAUUCCUGGCCGGGGCU
rnacentral:tRNA from 1 species